rnacentral:rRNA from 1 species
GCUGGCGGCGUGCUUACACAUGCAAGUCGAACGGAAAGGCCCUGCUUUUGUGGGGUGCUCGAGUGGCGAACGGGUGAGUAACACGUGAGUAACCUGCCCUUGACUUUGGGAUAACUUCAGGAAACUGGGGCUAAUACCGGAUAGGAGCUCCUGCUGCAUGGUGGGGGUUGGAAAGUUUCGGCGGUUGGGGAUGGACUCGCGGCUUAUCAGCUUGUUGGUGGGGUAGUGGCUUACCAAGGCUUUGACGGGUAGCCGGCCUGAGAGGGUGACCGGCCACAUUGGGACUGAGAUACGGCCCAGACUCCUACGGGAGGCAGCAGUGGGGAGUAUUGCACAAUGGGCGGAAGCCUGAUGCAGCAACGCCGCGUGCGGGAUGACGGCCAUCGGGUUGUAAACCGCUUUCGCCUGUGACGAAGCGUGAGUGACGGUAAUGGGUAAAGAAGCACCGGCUAACUACGUGCCAGCAGCCGCGGUGAUACGUAGGGUGCGAGCGUUGUCCGGAUUUAUUGGGCGUAAAGGGCUCGUAGGUGGUUGAUCGCGUCGGAAGUGUAAUCUUGGGGCUUAACCCUGAGCGUGCUUUCGAUACGGGUUGACUUGAGGAAGGUAGGGGAGAAUGGAAUUCCUGGUGGAGCGGUGGAAUGCGCAGAUAUCAGGAGGAACACCAGUGGCGAAGGCGGUUCUCUGGGCCUUUCCUGACGCUGAGGAGCGAAAGCGUGGGGAGCGAACAGGCUUAGAUACCCUGGUAGUCCACGCUGUAACGG